UCACAGCAGCGAUGGAGAUGAAACUAGGAACAAAUAUUGCCCCUUUUAACCGAUGAUUCCAUCUGCAAGCAUCAAAACAUUUCGACCAUAUGAGAGUAUUUUUCAUAGUCAAAGUUCAAUUACAGUUUUUCCUUGAAUUUUAGAAAUAUCAAGCACGAAUCAACCCGUUGCAUGAAGAAACAGCAAAUCUAGCAUCAAUAAAUACUAAUAUUCUAGGUCUCCACGGACAUGAUAAUAUAUUUUGUAAACUUUAGCGAAAGACAACUUGUGUGAUAAAAGGGAAAUGACUUAUGUUUGAUACUGUCCCAUUUGGUUAAAAUCGGUGAAUAAAAGACUGACACUAUGGAGAGAUCAUCAAUGAUUUUGCUUGCAAAUGACUUUGGAUCUCUCCCAAACAGAAAAACUAUGAUGUAUCUCUGAUAAACUUUCAAAAACACAUAACCAGUUCCGGCGAAAGAGAAGUAAAAGAAGAGGAAUCAGAGAGUCAAAAAAGAUCGGGGAUGGUUCGAAAGGAGUAAGUGAAGGGCCUAAGCUUACGGGCUGGGCCGACGGGCUUGAGCUAGAGGAGCCUGACCCACCAGCUUAACGAAUUUAACCGAUGGCUAAUCGAAAUAAAUAUGGAAGGACGCGAUGGAGAGUGUGUGGAAUUUCUAUGACCUUAAUCUGCCCGCUAUCUCUCUCAGUUCCUUCCAGACACUCUCUUUCUCACACACUCUCUCUCUUUCUAGUCUCUUCUCAGUUCUGUCCUCUCUCAUGAACCUGAUUCUGUUCCUAGAUUGUUAAUUUCCAGAAAUAGUAUCAGUUGCCGUCUAGUUCUUGAAAGAACUGUAAGAGCUAUCCCUGUGGAUGUUCUGUUUGAUUUCAACAAGUAUUACUCUCUGUCACUAUCUGGAAUUGUCUAAGCAAAUAUUAUUGAGAAUAUUUGAGCCUAGCUUCAUCAAUUGAAUUUUCUUGAGUUAAAUAUUAUCUGUUUCGGUUGUCGUUCUGAGUUGUCUUCCAAUCUUUACCAAAAGGGGGUCCCAUCAAUCUCUCUGGUGGAGCCCGAGAUUUGCACAGGACGACGCCGGCGAGGGCUUCGGGAGCAUGCCGCAUCAGUCACACCACAGCGGAAGGCCAUCUCUGCCGUCCACGACGACGCUGGGGCCUACCUUGGUGAGGAGGAUGAGAACUACAAUACCAUUGGUAGGACCUGUACAAUGUAGGGCAGAACUUCCUUCAGAUGCUCUGCGGGGGUGAGUACGCGGAUUUCCCCUAGGAGGUAGAGGAGGAGAAGAAGCUUGGGAAGUUGCCGCCACCACGGGGGGCGCACACCGUUGUAGUGGCCUCAGAGGCCUCCUUCGUUGCCGGUGAUUCAGACGCCCCCGCUCUUGCUGCCUCCUCCCACGGAGCAGGAGCCGCCUUCGGAUUUCUCCUAGUUGCUGAUGUCGAUCCCUGGCAUCGGUGGGGAUCCUGCGAUCGAGAGAGGCAUGGAUGGAUGGGUCGAGGGGGUACGCUGAGGUGGGAUCCUGUCCGUCGAGGAUGUCUGCCGCUGAAGAAGCUGUGUGAUGAUGAGAGGUGAGAGGCCAAGCGGACAAAUCUUAAGAGUGAAUCAUCAUCUUCUUGUCAUGUUCUCCACAUAACAAGAGCCCUAUCAUUCAUUCCAUGACCCAACGCUUCACCCAUCAGAUUGCUUUGCAGUAACAUAUCAAUGAAAUAAAAUCUGCUCCGCUGAGAAAAAUCGUAAUAUUAUCCAGA
rnacentral:lncRNA from 1 species